AAGAGUUUGAUCAUGGCUCAGAUUGAACGCUGGCGGCAGGCCUAACACAUGCAAGUCGAACGGUAACAGGAAGCAGCUUGCUGCUUCGCUGACGAGUGGCGGACGGGUGAGUAAUGUCUGGGAAACUGCCUGAUGGAGGGGGAUAACUACUGGAAACGGUGGCUAAUACCGCAUAACGUCGCAAGACCAAAGAGGGGGACCUUCGGGCCUCUUGCCAUCAGAUGUGCCCAGAUGGGAUUAGCUAGUUGGUGAGGUAACGGCUCACCAAGGCGACGAUCCCUAGCUGGUCUGAGAGGAUGACCAGCCACACUGGAACUGAGACACGGUCCAGACUCCUACGGGAGGCAGCAGUGGGGAAUAUUGCACAAUGGGCGCAAGCCUGAUGCAGCCAUGCCGCGUGUAUGAAGAAGGCCUUCGGGUUGUAAAGUACUUUCAGCGGGGAGGAAGGUGUUGUGGUUAAUAACCACAGCAAUUGACGUUACCCGCAGAAGAAGCACCGGCUAACUCCGUGCCAGCAGCCGCGGUAAUACGGAGGGUGCAAGCGUUAAUCGGAAUUACUGGGCGUAAAGCGCACGCAGGCGGUCUGUCAAGUCGGAUGUGAAAUCCCCGGGCUCAACCUGGGAACUGCAUUCGAAACUGGCAGGCUUGAGUCUUGUAGAGGGGGGUAGAAUUCCAGGUGUAGCGGUGAAAUGCGUAGAGAUCUGGAGGAAUACCGGUGGCGAAGGCGGCCCCCUGGACAAAGACUGACGCUCAGGUGCGAAAGCGUGGGGAGCAAACAGGAUUAGAUACCCUGGUAGUCCACGCCGUAAACGAUGUCUACUUGGAGGUUGUGCCCUUGAGGCGUGGCUUCCGGAGCUAACGCGUUAAGUAGACCGCCUGGGGAGUACGGCCGCAAGGUUAAAACUCAAAUGAAUUGACGGGGGCCCGCACAAGCGGUGGAGCAUGUGGUUUAAUUCGAUGCAACGCGAAGAACCUUACCUGGUCUUGACAUCCACGGAAGUUUUCAGAGAUGAGAAUGUGCCUUCGGGAACCGUGAGACAGGUGCUGCAUGGCUGUCGUCAGCUCGUGUUGUGAAAUGUUGGGUUAAGUCCCGCAACGAGCGCAACCCUUAUCCUUUGUUGCCAGCGAUUAGGUCGGGAACUCAAAGGAGACUGCCAGUGAUAAACUGGAGGAAGGUGGGGAUGACGUCAAGUCAUCAUGGCCCUUACGACCAGGGCUACACACGUGCUACAAUGGCGCAUACAAAGAGAAGCGACCUCGCGAGAGCAAGCGGACCUCAUAAAGUGCGUCGUAGUCCGGAUUGGAGUCUGCAACUCGACUCCAUGAAGUCGGAAUCGCUAGUAAUCGUGGAUCAGAAUGCCACGGUGAAUACGUUCCCGGGCCUUGUACACACCGCCCGUCACACCAUGGGAGUGGGUUGCAAAAGAAGUAGGUAGCUUAACCUUCGGGAGGGCGCUUACCACUUUGUGAUUCAUGACUGGGGUGAAGUCGUAACAAGGUAACCGUAGGGGAACCUGCGGUUGGA
rnacentral:rRNA from 2 species